AGUGAACGCUGGCGGUAGGCCUAACACAUGCAAGUCGAACGGCAGCACAGUAAGAGCUUGCUCUUACGGGUGGCGAGUGGCGGACGGUUGAGGAAUACAUCGGAAUCUACUUUUUCGUGGGGGAUAACGUAGGGAAACUUACGCUAAUACCGCAUACGACCUACGGGUGAAAGCAGGGGAUCUUCGGACCUUGCGCGAUUGAAUGAGCCGAUGUCGGAUUAGCUAGUUGGCGGGGUAAAGGCCCACCAAGGCGACGAUCCGUAGCUGGUCUGAGAGGAUGAACAGCCAGACUGGAACUGAGACACGGUCGAGACUCCUACGGGAGGACGCAGUGGGGAAUAUUGGACAAUGGGGGAAAGCCUGAUCCAGCCAUACCGCGUGGGUGAAGAAGGCCUUAGGGUUGUAAAGCCAUGUUGUUGGGAAAGAAAAGCAGCAGGUUAAUACCCCGAUGUUCUGACGGUACCCAAAGAAUAAGCACCGGCUAACUUCGUG
rnacentral:rRNA from 1 species